UUAGAAAACUCUUGCUCAAUGAGUGACAGCUCGAGCAUUUUGGUUGUCCUGAAAGAAUAUCUUCUAAGCGAUUCCAAGCUUCUACUGCAGUCGAGUUGGGUUCCAGGAUAGUGGUCAGCAAAUCAGUAGAAAUGGUGGAAUAAAUCCACUGGAGAACGGUGGCAUCAAGAGUGGUCCAUUGUUCAUGCUCGGCAUCGGUAGGGGCU
rnacentral:lncRNA from 1 species